UAAAGGACAAAAUGGCGACAGCCAAAUGCAAAGUUACCUCCCGGAGCAGAAGCAGGACGCCAGUGGAAAAGCAGGUGAUGCCCACCGGCAGUGCCACCCUGGGGCUGGGGGGAGCUGUGUUUAAUUAAAGAGGACUUUCACUGAAGGCCGGUCCAGGGAGCUGGGGAAGACCAGCCUGACUCGGCUAGAGACCUGCAGCUCCGUGACCGUGGGGAGCGUGCGGGGCUGUGGCGGCCGCCUGGACCAGGAGGGAGACCAGCGUGCGUCCAGGAAAGGGCGGUGAGCAGGUCACGUGACAGCAAGUCAGCCCGAGGUCCUGUUAGCCUAGGUUUCAAAUACAUUUGUGUGUCAACACACGUCACAUCCUGUGGGGGCCAGUUUCUAGCUCUGACUUCAGGAACUUACUUAACCUCUCUGAGCCUGUUCCCUGAUCAAGGUCACAAGGACCUACUGAUUAAGUGCUCAACUAGCCGAGCAGCAGGGCUGCGGUCCCCCGUGCCUCAGGGUCAAGUGAUCUCGUGCACGGAAGGCACCAGAACGGGCCCAGGUGCGCCCGGCACCCAGUGAGUGCCACUUGCAUUUAAAGGAAAGAAAGGUGAUGAACACAUCUUGGACCAGAGAAGAAAUUUUCUGCUAAGUUCCUGCCGUAAAUGUAUUUACUGUGAAAUGUAAGCUCAAGAAACCCACUCCUAAGACAA